CCUACGGGCGGCAGCAGUGAGGAAUAUUGGUCAAUGGGCGAGAGCCUGAACCAGCCAAGUCGCGUGAGGGAGUACUGCCCUAUGGGUUGUAAACCUCUUUUGUCGGGGAGCAAAAGCCGGACGUGUCCGGCUGUGAGAGUACCCGAAGAAAAAGCAUCGGCUAACUCCGUGCCAGCAGCCGCGGUAAUACGGAGGAUGCGAGCGUUAUCCGGAUUUAUUGGGUUUAAAGGGUGCGCAGGCGGAUUUUUAAGUCAGCGGUAAAAUCGUGGGGCUCAACCCCAUCCAGCCGUUGAAACUGGGGAUCUAGAGUGUGCGAGAGGUAUGCGGAAUUCGUGGUGUAGCGGUGAAAUGCAUAGAUAUCACGCAGAACCCCGAUUGCGAAGGCAGCAUACCGGUGCACAACUGACGCUCAGGCACGAAAGCGUGGGUAUCGAACAGGAUUAGAUACCCGUGUAGUC
rnacentral:rRNA from 1 species